rnacentral:lncRNA from 1 species
AUAGUUUUAUUAGGUACUAAAAAAUUAUAAAAGAAACUAAAACUUAGUAAGAAUUGGGGUUUGGGUUAUGAUAUACUUUCUAAUUCAUUUUAACCCAACCCAUUUCUGCCCAUAUAACUUUUGGGCGGGUUAUUGGCCCACUUAUUAACUCAGCCCAUUUUGACCCGCUCAAAUUCAGUUCAACCUGCCCAUUUGGCAACAUUAUUCUUCAUAUAGCGUUAAAGAACUCAACACUUCACUUUAAAACACAGAGAAAAUAGGCCCCCAAGGCCUAGCUCAAGUGGCAAAAGGUGGAGGAUUUGUGGCUUGGGUCGCAGGUUCAAGCCCCACACCAUGCAAAGCGAAGCCCGGUAUUUAAGUGGAGAAGGGAAGAGGGGCGGGCCCAUUAUCCACCGAGUUUAGAAGGCUGUGAUUGGUCCAAAGGGCGGGUCACAGACAGAUUUCUCGGUUAUCAAAAAAAAAAAAAAAAAAAAAAAACACAGAGAAAAUAGCUCAGCAAUGGAGCAGGUCAAGCGAAGUCCCUAAAGACUA